rnacentral:rRNA from 1 species
UACGUAGGGGGCAAGCGUUGUCCGGAUUCAUUGGGCGUAAAGCGUGCGUAGGCGGCUGCGCAAGUCGGGUGUGAAACCCCGGGGCUCAACCCCGGAACUGCAUCCGAUACUGCGUGGCUAGAGGUAGGUAGGGGAGAUCGGAAUUCCUGGUGUGAGCGGUGGAAAUACGCAGAUAUCAGGAGGAACACCGGUGGCGAAGGCGGAUCUCUGGGCCUUACCUGACGCUCAGGCACGAAAGCUAGGGGAGCGAACAGG